GGAUGGACACCGAAAAGUUAUCCAUUUCGGCGUAUUUUGUUUAAAAGAAAUCCAGUCUGUUGCAGUGGCAGUCAAAAAGAAUAAUUCAAUUGUAAACAAAGAACAGAUGUUUCACUACAGAGAAACUUUCGCCACAAUUGGCAAAUAAAACGAGCUUUACUUAUGACUACAGUUGAUGACACGAUAAUGACACUUGACGGCUGUGACAUUACACGAUUAGGGCUGUAAGAUAAGUUAAAUGUACAAAUUCGCUAUCCAAGUUCUCCUUCUUUAAAUUUAUUUGACUCUGUUUACUGGGCAAUCUCAAUUUGGCUUGAGGUGAAAAUGUUAUUCACCAAUUUUGUUAGUUAUUGACAAUUUCCACGCUGAUUCGUUGCUGUCAGCUGUCGCUUUCGCUGCUGCGUAGUUUGUGGAGCGAGCCUAGCGCGGCAGAGUUGUCAAUUGUUCGAAAAGCUUUCAAGUGGUUGGUUAUGGUGCAAAAUUUGAUGCAGUGCCAAGCGUAUAUGAAUGUCCGCUUAAUGACAAAGUGACUCGAAAGAGAUAAGGUCUUUGGAGCCAAAAGUAAAAUCGGUGCAUAGUGCGAACGCUGCAUGAAAAA